GUUUGUUCCAUUCUUGUCUAAGGGACGGCAAUGUUUGGCUAUUGCUGUUCCCAGCCGAAUAGUUAACGUUAGCGGAACACAUAAUAGGCUAACGUGAAGCGCCUCUCAUCUGUAAACGGCAGAAGCACCAGCUGUCCAGUGCAACGCAGUGCCACCACUAAAGACCCAGGAGCACUUGCAGUAACACAGCAGGUGAAAGAGAUUGGAAUUGAUUCCGGAAGGAGAAAUGACCCGUCAUUUUAAUCUGAUGAAGAAUCUUAAUCUGAUGACGAGCAGCGCCCAGCUACCUGUAUCAUCACAGCGGAGCAGCCCUCAGACGCUGACGGACAGCAAAGAGAGCGGUGGAAGCUGGAGAGCAGACGCGGAAUAGAAGACCGAUGCCAGCACCCAUCUUCGGAUGCAAACUGAAACAGCGGCUGGGUCCUGACAAGAACAGACAGGCUGGCCUGGGACGGCCUGCAUGGAGCUGCCACCACGGCCACCUGCUCACAGCAAUCAUCACCAGCGCUCCAGCCAGCCACCGAUACAGCAUACAGACCCAAUUAAGAGCCCUGCAUGUCCCCCUCCAGCCAGCCAUCACUAACACUCCUGCAAGUCUGACAAGGCUGUCUUUUUUCCCUUUAGCAAAUCUCUAAUUAACAACGUUGGUAGUGGUGAGGCCCGGGCUGUACAGAGCUGCUGAAAGGAGCUGGGACUGGGGUAAUCAGCUUAAAUACAGGUUUAUUUCCUGCCCCCUGUGCCUUGUUACUUCCAGCAGAGAUUGCAUUCUUUUAUCUGUUUAUCUCCAAUUUCCUCUGACUUGUAAUGUGUCUCCUAGACACACUGUCACCUCCACUUAAGGCCAGGCUUGCUGCUCCUGCGAUCAGAUGGUUUCAGAGCAGUGAUCAGAGUUAGUUUUGGCAGGGCAUAGCUCUCAACAACAUCUCUGUUUGUCUGUUCCAUUACUGCCUUACCACCUCCUCCCUCCACUCCUACCUCACUAAAGGCCUCUGAUCUGAGCUGGAGAGACACUACUGAAUAUCUUAAAGGAUCAAAGAUUCUCAUAUGGAAAUAUUCCCUUUCAUCACAUCAUAUUGAAUAAUUCAUAGUUUUGUAAAGAAAGUAUCUUAUUAAAGAUAGAGAUCAAUCACAAAGUUUUGUUCCUGUGUUCAGGCAGACGCCAGAUUUUAAUUUGUUAAAUGAAAAAAAAGAAGAGAGAAAAUUAUAUUGUGAAAUGACCUAAUUACCAGAGCCGGAUUAAGAGAGCUGUGUGUUCCAGCCGAGAGCAGAGGAGGCGGAAGAAUUUCCUUUCAUUGAGAGGUGUUAUUGUUGGAGCCCUGUGCAGAGCCGCUGGAUGAAAUAUCCUCUUCCCCAGUUUGGGAUUGACUCUUGAUACAGGACCACCACUCUUGAUUGCAGGAAAUUAUACCUAAUCAUCUGUCUUGAGCAAUUUAGACAAAAAUAAUAAAGACUGAUUUACAUUAAAAUUACACAUUUAAGAGAAGAGGUCAUCUGUAUGAUUAUUGAAUACACUUGGAUUUUAUUUUUUAUUUUUUUCUGUUUUUUGUCUUUUCUGGAUUGUAAAGAGAGAAAAGUUUUCCAGAGAUUUCUGCUGUUGGAUUUGGAGGUUGCGAUUAAUAAGAUUUGUUCAUAAUGAUACAGUAUUAAUAAGAUUUGUUAAUAAUGAUACAUUACUGCACACUAUAUGACUCAUUGGAUGCUAGACUUUUGACCCACAUUAAAAGAAUAUGCUGACUAUAUUUUUCUGUCCUUUUCCCAGAAAGGUGAUUAAUGGCGUUCAUUGUGGAGGACAAAAUGUUAACUGUGUUUUUUUGUAAUGACAACCUUAAAGGCAUUGUAUGUGUGCAUUUAGUCAGAGCCUAUCUUCUCAAUAAAUAUGUUAUAUGAUGAUUUUUUAUUGUGUUAGGACUGUGAACUUCAACCCUCUUGAUCCUGAACAGUUAAGCUGUAUUGAAAGAAGAUGGAUGGGUUUAGUUAGUUUAGAGGCUGAGCAGCAGAGGGUGCUGUUC